GGAGAAGUAAAGCCAUGCUCUUCUGCUGACAAACCUCAGGGUUUUUCCCUCUAACUGCUACAGUGAGACAAAGAGGGCAUGAAAAAAUAAGCUAUGUGGAAAAGGUCUUCCAGCAUGCGGCUCCUAACUGAUUAAAAUCAUGACUGCUGAGAAGUAAAGCUGAGAAGAAAUAAAACGAAAGGAUGACCGACACACGAGGGAUGUGAAAUUAAAAUUUAAUAAUUGAGUCAAAUCAUAAGUAGCUGUGAUGCUUGCGCGUGAAUAGAUGCUCUGUGUGUGUGCAUGUAUCAUAACUCCAGUCCCGGACUUCUCUUUCUCCGUGGCAGAAUUGUGUUAUUACACAAUGGCAACACUGGAAGAAGCCAUAGAGGUCAUUUUGUUCAACCCCCACAUUUUGCCAAGGAAAGACUGAAAGCCAGACAGACAGAGACUUGUCUGCUUUUUGACUUCUUUUUCUUUGCUUUUGAAUCUUUUCCCAUCAGCCGCAUAUCAACCAAUGAUCAAAUAAGAUUAUUCAGGCUGGGGUCAUUCUAUUCCUUAUUCUUAUUGACCAUUACAAUCUCUCCCUUUAAUUCCUUUCCUUCCUAUCUCAUCUUUAACACUGUUAAUCCAUUUCUUUCAUGAUUUGCCUCUGCCUGAUUUUUCUUUUAUAGAUAAACUGAGUCAUCAGCAAGCAUUUUGCUGGAAGUCAGCCUUGUUAAAUGUCCAGUCUAUUUAAGUGACUUUCUAUUCUAUCCUAUCUGCUGGAUCACAGGUUUUUGUUGAUCAAACUUUCUUAUCAUGUCAAGUGUUAAUCUUCUUUUAGUGAUAGAGAAAGUGCCAAAUGAAAGUACUUUGGAAAAUGAAUACAUUGACCUGUCAUUUCACAGUCCUCACGCAACCAAAGUCCUACUUGCCCUAUAGGUAGGUACAUUUCUAACUGAGAAUGUGAAGGCCAUGUACAAAGACUCCUGAGUCUCAGAAGUCUUGCAAUCCUCAAAAAGAAUUUUUUGAAAACAUGGCAGGCCUGGCUAUUUUACUAUGGUGAAAUAUAUCACUAUGGUGAAAUAUAUCACUAUGGUGAAAUAUUACUAUAGUCAUUGCACUAUAGGCAAUCAACCCAAACUUGGUAUAAAACAUUAUGGUAGCUAAUAUUCAUUUAGUGCUUACAGUGUGCUAAGUAUUAUUUUAAGCACACUACACAGAUUAUCUAAUUUAAUCAUCUGAGUUAUGUGCGGUUAUUGUUCCUAUAUCAUGUAUAGGAAAAUGUGGGCACCAAGCGGUUAGGCCACUUGCCCCAAACCCAGAGGGAAUAAACAGUGGAGCCAGGAUUUAGAGAGUUAGGUGGAGUCUAGUCUCCUAACCCCUCUGCCAAACCACCUCUGAUAUGGGGGUUAACAUGAGUCAAUCCACACCCACACCUUGUAUGUGGAAAGAGCGUCUUUGAAGGCCAUGCCCUGUGGAUAAGUGGAGACACCAUAGUUUCAGGCUCCAAUAAGCACAUACAACAGUCUAUAUGGCACCUGAAGCAGGUAGGUGCCUUCCUUGUCUUGUAAAAACCCAAAGGAAAAUAUUCUAAUGCCUCAGAACCUUCUGGCUGGCUCCACCAUUCAGCAACGCUGUCAGGAAGAGUAGCUCUUACACGGCCCUCACAACUUUAGAUCCACUUUAUGAUAAACUGGCUAAUGAUUAGAAAGAAGUGCAUCUCAGAACUAUCGGCCUAACUUAGAUGACACAGACUUCUGGAUCAGGUCUUGCCUUUCCCUGACUUUUUUGAAGUCUAGAGUCUCAUUUUGCAAUGGUUCAGAAUUGGAACUGGACCACCUGCCUGAGGCUGCUUGGGCUGCCCACACAGCUUGUAAAAACUGUAUGUAAACAUGAAAUGCAGCUGCAAAACAAACUUAGUUUUCCUCACAGGAAGUUAUCCCCCUAAGGAAUCAGGAUUAGUGUGACAGGCUUGUGCAAACUGCUCAAAUGAGGGUCAUCUUUGGCCAAGUAGUCCACCAUGUUGGAGUGUACGCUAAUCAAAGUGAGGGUGGAAGUUUUCAUCCAUUUCUACACUUUUAAGCACCUCUUUAGAAAUGCUUUUCAACCCAUUUCUCCAGCAACUGCCUGUCUUACUAGCACCCGAUCCAUAUUUCCAACGGGGACUAAAGCAAAACAUAUUUUCUUCCCUAUGUUACUAAAGGGCACCAGCAUCCACCAAGUUACAGAAGCC
rnacentral:lncRNA from 1 species